rnacentral:misc_RNA from 1 species
GGAAGGAUCAUUAACGAGAGCCCAACGGCCUAUGCCUAGCAUAGGCCUAUGGCCCCCAACCGUGGCUACUUGAACCCCGUUGCUUCGGCGGGACGGCGUAGGGUUUUGGCCCGGCCCAGUGCUAACACAGCGCUGAGUUGCCCGCCGAAGGCCCUUAAAAAAUCAUAAAUUAGUGGCCUUGUCUGAUAGUUAAUUAAGCAAUACUUAAAACUUUCAACAACGGAUCUCUUGGUUCUAGCAUCGAUGAAGAACGCAGCGAAAUGCGAUAAGUAAUGUGAAUUGCAGAAUUCCGUGAAUCAUCGAAUCUUUGAACGCAUAUUGCACCCUCUGGCAUUCCGGGGGGUAUGCCUGUCCGAGCGUCAUUGCAACCCUUAAGCACGGCUUAUGUGUUAGGGGCCCGUUCUUCUAUAUUUGUUAGUAGGGGACGCCUCUGCAAUACAGCGGCGACGUCGAGAUUCUGGCGCCCAAGCGAAUGGGAGACUAAGCUCGCUUUGCGGCCCAGCCGAUUGUCAGCCUAUUUAUUAUUUUAACAAGUGUUGACCUCGGAUCAGGUAGGGAUACCCGCUGAACUUAAGCAUAUCAAUAAGCGGAGGAAAAGAAACCAACAGGGAUUGCCCUAGUAACGGCGAGUGAAGCGGCAUAAGCUCAAAUUUGAAAUCCGGCUCUUCUAGGGCCCGAGUUGUAAUUUGCAGAGGAUGCUUCGGGUAUGGUCGCGGCCUAAGUUCCCUGGAACGGGGCGUCAUAGAGGGUGAGAAUCCCGUCUUUGGCCCGCGGUCCCACGCCCGUGUGAAGCUCCUUCGACGAGUCGAGUUGUUUGGGAAUGCAGCUCUAAGUGGGUGGUAAAUUUCAUCUAAAGCUAAAUACUGGCUAGAGACCGAUAGCGCACAAGUAGAGUGAUCGAAAGGUUAAAAGCACCUUGAAAAGGGAGUUAAACAGCACGUGAAAUUGUUGAAAGGGAAGCGCUUGCGGUCAGACUUAGGCGCAGGGGCUUAGCGGGCGUGAGCCGCCCGUGCACUCCCCUGCGGCCUAGGCCAGCAUCAGUUUUAAUGGCCGGUCAAAGGCCCCCGGAAUGUAUCGCCUCUCGGGGCGUCUUAUAGCCGGGGGUGCAAUGCGGCCUAUUGGGACUGAGGAACGCGCUUCGGCACGGAUGCUGGCAUAAUGGCCGUAAGCGGCCCGUCUUGAAACACGGACCAAGGAGUCUAACAUCCACGCGAGUGUUUAGGUGUUAAACCUAUACGCAUAGUGAAAGCAAACGGAGGCGAGAGCCCUUUAGGGGGUGCAUUGUCGACCGAUCCUGAAGUCUUCUGAUGGAUUUGAGUAAGAGCGUGGCUGUUGGGACCCGAAAGAUGGUGAACUAUGCCUGAAUAGGGCGAAGCCAGAGGAAACUCUGGUGGAGGCUCGCAGCGGUUCUGACGUGCAAAUCGAUCGUCAAAUUUGGGUAUAGGGGCGAAAGACUAAUCGAACCAUCUAGUAGCUGGUUCCUGC